GGAAUCUUCCGCAAUGGACGCAAGUCUGACGGAGCAACGCCGCGUGAGUGAUGAAGGUUUUCGGAUCGUAAAGCUCUGUUGCCAGGGAAGAACGUCCGAUAGAGUAACUGCUAUCGGAGUGACGGUACCUGAGAAGAAAGCCCCGGCUAACUACGUGCCAGCAGCCGCGGUAAUACGUAGGGGGCAAGCGUUGUCCGGAAUUAUUGGGCGUAAAGCGCGCGCAGGCGGCUUUUUAAGUCCGGUGUCACAGCCCAAGGCUCAACCUUGGGUCGCACUGGAAACUGGAGAGCUUGAGUACAGAAGAGGAAAGUGGAAUUCCACGUGUAGCGGUGAAAUGCGUAGAGAUGUGGAGGAACACCAGUGGCGAAGGCGACUUUCCGGGCUGUAACUGACGCUGAGGCGCGAAAGCGUGGGGAGCAAACAGGAUUAGAUACCCCUG
rnacentral:rRNA from 1 species